UACGAAGGGGGCUAGCGUUGCUCGGAAUUACUGGGCGUAAAGCGCACGUAGGCGGUCUUUUAAGUCUGGGGUGAAAUCCUGGAGCUCAACUCCAGAACUGCCUUCGAUACUGGAAGACUCGAGUCCGGGAGAGGUGAGUGGAACUGCGAGUGUAGAGGUGAAAUUCGUAGAUAUUCGCAAGAACACCAGUGGCGAAGGCGGCUCACUGGCCCGAUACUGACGCUGAGGCACGAAAGCGUGGGGAGCAAACAGG
rnacentral:rRNA from 1 species